CCGGAAAGAUUAACAUCCGUUUUUGUUGACACCAGAGGAGCCAGCAUGAGCCUCAUUUCAGCAGAGCCUCUUUUGUUUGCAGUGAUGUGAGCAAAAGGGAUAGUUAACAGUUCAAGAUUAGGCGAGUAGGCUACGACCAGUUGUUAUGGAAUACAAUGAUAGUAUAACCUGCCAUGACAGAGUCACUGUCUCAUCGGGGAAUCCCUAUAUCUCCGCGGCAAUCUUCUCUGCGGAGGUACUAGGCAAUUUAAUCGCCUUGGUCCUUUUGGAGAUGCGGCGCCGGCGGCAAAUUCCAUCCUUGUUCCAGGUGCUGGUGACUGCACUGGUGACUACAGAUCUACUAGGUUCCUUAUCCAUCAGUCCUCUUGUACUAGCCUCUUAUACACAAAACAGGACCUUGGUAGAUAUGAGUAAAAACAGAGCAGUAUGCGCCUACUUUGGUUUCAGCAUGACUUUUUUCAGCCUCGCCACUUUGGCCAUUCUGUGCGCCAUGGCUUUGGAGCGCUACCUCUCCGUUGGACAGCCGUAUUUUUACGAGCGGCACUUGACAAAGCGCUGCGGAUAUAUCACCAUUCCACUCAUCUAUCUGGUCUGCAUCUUCUUCUGCCUAGCACCUUUUAUGGGCUUUGGAGACUACGUCCAAUAUUGCCCGGGGACUUGGUGCUUCUUUGACAUGAACCCAAACGUGACCCAACACAAAGUCUACGUCGGUGUGUAUGCGUCAUUGGCUCUUAUCAUGAUUUCGACGACACUAGUUAGUAACUUAUCUGUCGUCUACCAUUUGAUUAUAAUGUAUCGGAUGUGCAAAGCGCACCGUGGGGGAGUUACGCGACGGAUACGGUUCUACCAAAAAUCCUUCGCUAUGACUGAGGAAGUGGAGCAUCUUCUGCUACUGGUGUUCAUAACAGUGGCUUUCGUCAUCUGUUCGUUUCCUUUAGUGCUCCGUGUGUAUGUCAACUUUACAGGCAGGUCAAAGGAGAGCCAUGCCACCGAUCUCGCUGUGCUUCGCCUGCUGUCCUUCAACUCCAUCAUCAACCCUUGGGUCUUCAUCAUCCUCAGGCCAUCAGUGCUGCGCUUCCUCUGGAGAAAGCUGACGCUGAGUAAGGCCCAGAGGCCUCCAGAGGCCCCCACAUUCCCCCAGGAAAAGUCUCUCCCAGUUGGGCCCAAACUCCCUCUGCCAAGCCCACUUAUCGAGCUCCAGAACGAUGAUGUGGAGGGAGUGGACAAGACAUAGGGCACGUUGGAGCGGAUCACCUUCGUCAAGUCGUUGACCAUCAUUGGUCACCGUCUUUCAAAGCCCACCCCUCCUCCCCGUGUCAUCGAUGGCCAUCCGGCAUACACGGUGAGACGCUUCCUGAGUGUUCGACCACGAGGCAGGGGUUUCCAGUACCUGGUUGACUGGGAGGGUUAUGGCCCGGGGGAGAGCUGCUGGGUCCCCGCUAGAGAAAUGCUGGAUCCAGCCCUCAUCGCCGACUUCCACCACCAGCACCCCGGUCAACCAGGUAUGCGUCCAGGUGAGACGCCAAGUGGCGCCCAUAGAGGGGGGGGUACAGUCACACCCUGAUCUGUUUCACCUGUCUUUGUGAUUGUCUCCACCCCCCUCCAGGUGUCGCCCAUCUGCCCCAUUAUCCCCUAUGCAUUUGUAUCCGUGUUCUCUGUUUGUCUGUUGACAGUCCGUCUUAGUGGUUGCUUUAAGUUGUGAUUUAUAGUCUUUUAUGUAUUGCAUUGUCAUUAUCUCCAAUUUGAAUGGUAGUCCGUUAUAGGGCUCCCGAGUGGCACAGCGGUCUAAGGCACUGAACACGGAAUCAACAUGCAGUGUCAGAAAUGCUUGUCAUUUUAGGACGUUUAUGUUAAGCUGGAGGAGUGGAAAUGUGCCAGCUUGGAGGAGGUCACUAAAGCACAGAGUGCCUCCUAUGCAUGGUAUGAAGGACGUAAACUUCGGAUCACUGCUAGCUCAGCAAAGAAGGUUCCUGUGCACACCUCAACAAAUCCAGACAACUUUGUGCGGCAGCAUCUCUUCCCCAGGUUCCAUGGGAACGCAGCAAGCACAUAUGGCAAGGAGAACAAGCGGGUGGUCUACACAUUGAUGGAGAGCUGUGGGCUUAGUCUAGAGAGUAGAGGCACAGUAGUGAGUGUCAAGAAGCCAUGGCUUUCUGCAAGCCCAGAUAGUGUUAAACUCUCAAGAACUUCUAGAAAUCAAAUGUCCUGUUCUGAGUAAGAAGUGUGAAUCUCUGACUGAACUGUUCUCUAGCAAACUCACAAUGUGAAGCUGGUGGAUGGGGUUCCUCAGCUGCAACUGAAUGGCGCCCGUGGGUACUACAGGUGCAAAUGGGCAUGUUCUGCACAGGACUGGAGAGACACAAACUGCUGUCUGGGCUCCAUCCGAGCAGGUUAUUAUUGAUGUGCCUUUUGAUGUGAAGUUAUGUGCUGAUGUUAUCCCUAAACUGAAUACAUUUUAUUUCACAGAUGUGCUGCCAAGGACACUAUAUGAGAUCCAGUCAGGCAGACUAAGUCUGUGCUCCAAAUAUGUUAUUUUGUGUGGUAUCUAGGCUCGGGCCUAAUACUUUGUUUUUAAAUAGUUCUUAUUUUGUGUUAUUUUGUGUUCUAAAGCUCACUCUGUUAGCUCUACUUUAUCUAAGUAUAACUCCGUGUUUUUUGUUGUUGUAUUGUACAGUUCUCUUCAUAUAUGCACAUUUACCUGAUUAUAUUUGCAUAAUUCUUCAUGGUGUUUUUUAUGUCUUGCCUCGUACAGCUAUUUUCAUACAGUACAUGUUUAUCGAAGGCCUAAGGAUAACUCCUUAUGAUUUAUGAAUAUUUUUUAUUGUACCUUGUAUAUCUCUUUCUUCUCAUAUGGCACUAUGAAAUUAUCUAAGCAUACCGUAACUCCUCUUGCUCGUGACAAAUUACUGCGUGAAGAAAAACACCACUUGUUGACAUUUUCUUUGAUUCUUAACCUUUUGAAAUGAAGGACGGGGAGGCAUGUCUAAAGGUUUCAAAUGUGUUUUCAGGUUUGACUCUGGAUUUGUUUUUCAAGAGCACAAAUGAACAAAACUGUGUGGCACUUGAUAAACAGUUGUAUUCCC